AAAAAGGCUUUGAUCAAAGCCAUUUAUAUCCCAUAUCAAGAUUAAG
rfam:Picea glauca, whole genome shotgun sequence.